ACAUUUUUGAAUAAUUCACUUAAGAGAACAAUUUGCAGUUUAAGUUGCUUUCUUUAUUCUACAAGUUGUCAUUAAAAAAGAAAGAUCUGAAGGCAUGCUUGUUGUAACUAAAGUACUGUAACAUGCACUUUGCAGUGCAAGUCUUCACAGUUCCCUCUAUCUGUGCUCUUCAGCGUGGGGGUUAUUCAAAAGUGACUGAACAAUGAAUAUGGACCAAGGACAGCAUGGCUUGCCCUGACAAGUUGCAUUUUUGAUAAGUGAAUUAAUAAGAAUUAUGAAUCAUUAGUUUGUCCUACGCUACUACUGCCAUCAGGUAUUUUUUCCACAUUCCUCAGCUUUUUGUGAGCUGAAGCUGUGUACAAAAGCAAAGUCCAUUCAUCUGUAUGCAGUGACUACAGUGUGAAUUGUUCUGACUUCAUGCCUUGAAUUUAAUCUCUUCACUUAUGAGCCUGUAGCUUGAUGCUGUGAUACUCAUGGAUAGUACCCUCAGAAUCCUUUUUCCACACAGCAAUAGCACAGAGAGAAAAGGGCCUUCAGUAUUUCAUCUCUUGUUACUGUUGUUUAUUUUUUGUUUUAUUUCACCAAGAACAGAAGCCUCAGAUGUACAAAAGUGUCUGUAUCUUGUUAUAUGGCCAUACCUACAAGCUAAUCUCAGUGUCUAAGAACUAGUAUUAUAAGGUAACAAAGAAACAACAAGAAAAAAAAAAAGAGAAUACAAGCAAAGUGACAUACCCGAGGUCAAGAAGUGCUCUGUAGACCUCUCUGUCUCUCCAGUCAUAAGAAAGGCAAUUACUAUGUAAAACCUGGAAAAGUGUGUGCCGCACUCACUAUAUUACAAAUACUUUGAAAACAAAGGAUGUUUCCACCACAUAGUAAUGACAAAUUCUCACAGAGAGACUAAUGAGAUUUUGUAUGAACCAACUGCUGCUUGCCUUCCAUUAAAUCAAACACUUCUAAAAAUUUGGAAAUCCCUUUUAGUAAAAACAAAAAAAGAAUUAGAGUGACAAUGAUCAUCUGUGAAGCCACGUGUGGUAGAGAAAUCCAGUGUCAUUUUAUGUACUAGCCACCAAAAAGACACAGAAAAUAAACUGUAACACUGAACAGACCCUAAGGUCAAAGGAAGCUCUGUAAAAGACAGACUUGAUACAAGGUUGACUUCCAUUGUUAAAGGAUGUGGUAUAUGUUAUGCAAAAUACCUUUAUUUUUGAAGGAAUCUUACCUGAAUAUUUCUACAGGAUCUCCUCAAAGCCCCCUGAAAAUAAUAUAUAUUAUAGUGUUAGACAAUGCCCACUGGAGACUCAGGAAAAAAAAAAUUGCCUACUGAAUGCAAGUGAGGCCAAAUGUCUGCAUCUGUCCAGUAGAGCCAUGGAGAUACCUUGAUUUGAUUGGUACCUGUGGCCACCAGUGAUGUGCAAAGAGGAGACAUGAUGAGCAGUGGUGAUUAGCAGGCAUACCUCCACAGAGGAAUGGGAAUGAGAAAUGCCUUUUACAUGAGUUUAAAUUCAUGGCCUAAAUCUAUAACUGUAUCAAUUCUGCUCCUAAUUAUAUACAUUGUUUCACUGACAUUUACUUUCUCCUAAAUAUUUCCUCUCUAUUUUCUCCUAAAAGAAAGAUAGGAAUGCUGUUGAAAUAACCAGCGAAGUUAAAUGAUAAUAAUGAGAUUUCAUAUUAGCUAACUUGUUCUCAUGUAGGAGUUUAUACAUCUGACAAUGUAUUCGAAAAGGAAUGGAAUUCCCAUUUAGCAGUGUUGGUUUAUAGAUAUCUAAGCAGUGUAAUUUAUUUUUUACUAAAUUCACCUGCUUGGAAUAUUUCUUUAAUUUUCUCUUAAACAUAAACUCUCUUUAAAAAUAACAUUCGCAUUGAAAUUAUGUCUUCGAGCAGCUUUCUGAUUAGAUCCCCAGUUUGCUCAGCAAUUAUUGCUGAAAUGAUGUGAUCUAAGUAACUCUUUUUCCUGUCUGACAUUAUUUCCCUGUAACUAAUUAUUUUACAGACUCUGCUUUAAUUGCAGGGUGUAGGAGGUACUUUCUAUGGCUGCUAAGUAUUAGAAGGGGACAUGCUCUGCAGAUCAUUAAACGUGCUUCCAGGGAUAAGCACACUUCUGAGACCAAUGACAUUUGUCAAAAUUAGUCAGUGUGUUUGUUGAGAGCAAGAGGCCAGUUCCAGGAGAUGUCUCCUAAUAAUUGCUAGCUUGGUGAGUGCUGUUAAUUAUUUAACAUGAUAUGGAGGACAUAGGCCUUCUCAAGAGAAAUGCUUUCCUUGCUUCUUUUGUUUACAAACAGGAUGCAUUAAAAACCCUUAGUGAUUUAAAUUUGUUUUUUAAACAAAUCCAGACUGACAAUUUUCUUGGUAGCCUGCAAACACUACUAAAGAGGAGACAAGUUACAGACAUCAAAAUAUUAUGCAUAUUUCAUGGCUUCCUAUCAGAACAUAGAGUGAUGUAAAAUAAAACCAUUAACAGAUUUGAGUAUCUGUGCUCAACUUAAACUAGGCCAACAUCAGUGUGUACUUCUAGUGCUACCCACUAAUGACAGUCUAUACGCAACUUAGGUCAGAAGUACUGCUUUGCAACGCUGUCUCUUGCAGUGCUAUUAUUUGCUUUUGUUUUCAUUGUAUCAUUGUAUUAUCAUAUAUUCAUGUUCUCCAUUAGUAUCAUAAGCACCAGGUGACAAGAACACAUCAGAAAUGACCACAGACCAUGAAAGGUAUGAGUAAAGACUGAAGAAGUUGGAGAAAGAGAGGAAAUUUGAAGAGGGGUCAUGGCAAAACCUUUGCCUAGGUAGAAGACAGCCCUAGGGAGAGCUACUUUUACAAAUCCAGGCUAGACAGGAAAAGAAAUAAUAGGAUUAAGUGUGUGUUUGUGGGGGGGGGGGGAGAACCAAAAAAACCCACCAAUGUUUGUUUAGUGAUAAGGAAAUCUAGAAAAAUAAAACAAAUUAGCAAAGAAAUGGAUUGGCUGGGAUUCUCUCUAGCUUAAUUUGGAUUUCUCAUGGGCAAUUAGAUAUAAUAGUUUUUGUCUUUGUGGGCUGACUUCAUCAAACCUUCUUCUAGACCUUGUUUUGCAAGAAUUUUGUCAGGGGAUUCCACCUAGCAUCAAAAAACACUUCCCAGAGAAAGUUUAAUCAAAAUAGAUCUACUUCCAGUAGAAAGUUUCUUUUUGUCAAAUUUAUAGGUUUGGGUAUUUUCUUUAUUUUCAUUUUCAGAAAAAUUUUUCAAAGUGAGGACUCCAGUUCCUGCAAGGGUUCAAGUCAUUCACUUUACUGUUUAGUAAUGGAUUAAUUGUUCUAGAUUAUACAGUAGUGGUGGUGAUAGUAGUAGAGAUUAGCAGAGACAUCCUCCAAACACCUGCAGGUUGUGCUUGACUGUACAGGGGAGCAGUUUUGAUAUUUCUAACCUAGAGACUUUUCUCUCUGUGAAUCUCUGUGUAUUCACAGCAAGUUUGAAUCAUAAUAUAUUGGAUACUGGAGCUCCAGUUAUGAAAGCAUUGCAACUAGCCUUUCAUUAUGCAUACAAGCAUUUAUUUUGCCAUGUUUUUCAGGACUUACUAUGACACUAUUGGAUAGUUUAUUUCCUUUUUCUGGACUAAACAAAUAUGAUUUUGUUCACUUUUGCAAGUAGUUAUAUGGAAAGACAUCUUGAACUGUGUUAGCAUUCAGUUCUUUUUCAUCUCCUUCAAGAACUGCCAAUAAAUAAAUAAAUAAAUAAAUAAAUAAAUAAAAACAACCAAAAAAACCAACACACAUUAAUGACUCUACCUAAAAAAAACUUCCCUUAUUGUAGCAGUUCUCCAUCCUGUCUUAACCACAAGCUGAUGUCUAGCCCCAUGUUCAGAUGUACCUAACUGGAAGGAAAUUUUGCACACAUCAUCACUGACAAAAGUAGAUGAUAUGGAGAUAUACACAGCAAUAAAAUGUUUUAGGUCUGAUUUUCUCUAGAGGACAUCUAGUAAAGAACGAGUAAAGGUGGUCCAGUUACAACGCUGACUCUCUUCCACAUUUGUUACCAGAUAAGAGGACCUUGCAUGGUACUGUAUCAGCACAUACAUAACAAAUGUUUGUCCAUAUCAGCAAAUGUGCAUCAUUGUCCAUAUGCAGUUCUGGGGAGAGCACUCACCAAGCACCUAGGCUGCAGUAUACAAGAAGCAUUAUAUACUUAGGAAAUCCUAUCUUUACCUUUUCCAGCACUUUCGGAUAAUAUUUCCUAUUAAACCAUAUUAUUUGGCGACAUCAUUUGUGAAGAUUAAAAGCAGUAGUCUGGAUUUCUGUUCAGAGGCAAUAGCAGCGCACGGGAAAGCCGGCAAUGGCAUGCAGUAUCUCAGGGGGCUGCUAGAUGGAGCUAAAGCAUGGAUAGAAGCGCACCAUGGAACUACUGCAUUGGCUGCUCAGUCACGGGUUAGCUGAGAAUGGAGGAAAACUGAAGAUGUUUUCUGUCCCUCCUGUUUUCUGCAUCACCUCUAAUGAAAAGAUCGCCUCAGCUUCCUCGGUUUCUCAAAAAAAAAUGUUACAUUCAGAUUUGCCCCAAAUUACUAUCCUCACAUUUUUACAUACUUCUACAGUAUUUUCUAUUUACAACAAAACUGACGGAAUAUAUUUUGCCAAAGAGACAGUUUACCAAGAAACUGUCAUUUUGGGGAGACUAACAUUAUUUAUGGAAAGAAAUGAGAACUGCUAAAAUAAUUUAUUUCAACAUUUCCAGAAGGAUACGCAUAGACUUCUGGGUUUCUAACAGCAUAUUAAUUCAGAAAUUCAGACUUGUUCAAUUUUUGAGAAUGUUUACUCACUGCAGAAGGGAGAAACAAAGUGAAUAACAUCUAUAAAAUGAAGUGAGUGUUCCAUCAAAAUUGGAAUGGAAUGUUUCAUGUAAAAUGAGAAACAAAGUUUUAUAUUUUUUUCCAGCUUCACGAAGCAAGUAGUAUAAUUGUAGUAAUGUAUUAUAUUGACUAUGUUGUGAAUAAAAAUCAGUUUUGGUCCAUCCAAUGUACAUGUUCUUCAUUAAUAGUUACAGUAACUACAAUUUUGCACACAUUUUCAUGUGAUUUAUGUUCAUCCUGUGGUGUCAGCUGAGGAGGUUUUAAGAGGCUGGUAUAAGCUUUGACUCAUACCAAAGACAAAAUCUUCUCUCAAGGGAAUACAUUACAAAGUCAUACAAAGGCUAUUAAAAAUUAAACAGUAUAAUAUACUGUGUUUCCUAUGGGGGGAAAAAAUGCUGUCAGAUAAUAGAGAGAGUUACAUGAGGGAUAAAAUAUAGGCAAAUAAUUAAAGCAUUCACUUAAAAAAUAUGGGAAUUGUUCUCAGAGUGAUUAGCUCUUGUUUGUAUAUGAUGUAAUUUUGAAAACUACUGAUAAUUAGAAAAAGCUUAAAUCUAAUUUGUUUUGAUGCCAAUAAAUGCAGGCAGUGACAGCAUUUGUCUGAGUAGCUUGAGAGAAUUUAACAUUAAUCAGGAUUUUAAUUAGCAAAACAACAAAUUGACUAUAAUUCUGUGGAGACAAGUUGUAAAAAAGUCCUCAUAGGUCAGAUUCAAUUAACUUGUAACCAAAAGAGCAUGAAGCCACACUGUGAUUUAGCAAGACCAAUAUCUGCCCAAGUUUCAUUCAUAAAACCAUUAGAUCACAAGGCUUCCAUCAACAGCAUUAUUAGAAAGCACCAAUGAGUGUUCUCAAUGCUUAAUUUAUUUGUUCCUUUUCUGGGCAUAAAAAUAGAUGGGCAUUUUCACCAUGUCUGGAUGUCUCAUGCACCAUCUAAACUGUAAUUCCUGCCUCAGUAUGAUAUGGAAGCAUGUGUCAAACAUGGGCCAAUCUAAGCAAUCACAAGAGGAAAAUUACUGAGAAAAAUUCCUAUAGUGAAUAUCUUGGCCUGGUGUUUUUUGUCACCAUGAUACUUGACAGAGGGAAGGGAUAACUUGCUCUACCCAUGCUCAGAGUCAACUAAACAUCAGCUGUCUAUGGUUAUCAUGGUUCCAAGUCCAAACAAAAAGUUUGGAAUAGCCUUGAAAUGUCACUUUGGUUUUAGAUUGGUAUUGGAUUGCAUGCCAGCAUUAUUGCCUGAAAUACACAUAGCAGAUAUCUCGUCUAAAGAAGUGAAGAUAUUUAUUGUUAUUAUUGGACCCAUUUUAGGUUGUCUUCAGCUCUGGUCAUUUUUUUGUUUGUUUGUUUGUUUAUUGUGGCAUGAAAUAUUGCUGCUCACAAAAGAACCAGCAAGAUCAGUGAAAAAUUUUCCUUUCUGAAGACUGUAAACAGAUAAGCAAAGACUUUAAAAUGAGAUUUGAUUAAAACAUUUUUUUUUUAAUUGAACUGAAGAAAAUACGUUUUAUUCUUUGCUCUGUUCCCACUAAAAAUACAUGUUAAUUCUAUACAUUUUAUGUAAUUGAAAAACCACAGCAUUCUAACCAAAGCUCCUCAAUAUCUGUUCUCUGUUUUGACAUGCUUUGCACCUCUUGGUAUGAGUUUUCAUCUGGAUGACUUCAUUAACGCUGACUGACUGUACUGCCUCUCCUGAGCAUGACCAGCAAGCACAGAGGAGCUCACUGGGUCCCAAACAGCAAAACCCCUUUUGGAGCUGGACUCAGGAGAACUGUGCAAAAACCACCAAAAUAAUACUGUAGGACUGCUAGCACAACAGGAUAAAACACAGCAGACACUGCAUACCCCCUUCACAACCAGACAUUCCAUCUGCUCCCAAUCUGUCCUGAAGAAAUCAAGCUCAUCAAUUAAGAUGAGAGCUCCUCAAAGACAGGAUCACUUGAGUUCACUUCACAUCAAUAAAGAAAUCAAGUCAAACUUUUUGUAUCCUGAAGUUUGUGCUAGAGCUCCAUUAGGAAGAAAGGAAGAAAAUUCUUCACCACAUUAAUCAUGGGCCAGGAAAAGAAGUUGUGUUUAAACUGCCAACUGGAGAACAGCUCCCACCUACUGAGUUUUUGAAAUAAACUUCAUUUUGGACAAGAAUUUAAAGAGAUACACUUUUGAACGUGUUUGCCAACAAUUUUUUUUUUUUUAGAUAAAAUGCUUAUUGUUAGAUCACUAUCUGAAGUAACAGUUUGACUUUUAUAAUACAAGAAUUCUGCUUACAACCUUCUGGAAGCUUUACAAGACCAUAUUUGAAAGUGUAUUUAUGAUUUUUAGUAAAUUUUCUCUUAAGGUAUUUGUCCAAGACAAAUAACCAAUCAAUUACUAGUAUUUAUUUAAUGAUUCAUACUCAGAGAAAAAGUCAACUUUUGGAAUUUUUUAAGUUCUAAAAUAUAAAUCAUGCAGAUCAUCAUUUCCACAUCACUUUUUUUUUUUUCUUUUUUUUAAUCUUGCAUUGGAAAGUGUUUCUUUCUUCUCAGUUCAAAGAACAAACCAAUACACAAUUAUUUUACUCCAAAUCACCAAAAUCCACUAAUUUCAACAUGACAUUAUUUUUACAUAAGCAAAACAGCUUUCACUUAAAGUUUCUAAAAAGAAAGCUUUAAAACAGGUAGCUAUUAUUCUUAUCUGCUGAUCAUAAAAUAAUUAUAGUUCAGGUCAAUCUCUCUACAACAAAUGAAGAUUUAUUCAGAGUAUUGAAGAAGCCUAUUGAAAAUUUGUUUUGAAUUAAAUGCAUCAGUAGCAUUUGCUGAACACAAGCCUUUACAAAAAAACUAUACCCCAAGGAUACAUGUUUUUGUUGUUUUGUUUUUUUUCCUGCUGAGGCUGAAUCAUCCGGUGUAUGGGAAUUGGUAGGUCAUGGCCUGAAGCAGUGACUGAGCACCAGGUGAGAAGGCGUGCCUAAUCCAGGGAGCUCAGGUGCAAACAAACCUCACCCUCCAUGAGGGUUAGCAGCCAAGAGAGAAGUAUUUCUAUUUGGAGACUGUGCCCUUCUCAAGACUUUGCCACCUUCAGAAAGGCACUCCCUAUGUGGCUUAUGCAUCUGUGGUGAUUCAAGACCUUGGCCUCUGCAUUCAAGAGAAAUGUAAGUGCAUUUCACCAAGCACAUUUAGUGUAAUUUGGCUAUAUUUAUGAUGUUAAAUUAAGAACAAUGUUAUUUGUUGCAGGGAACAGCUUUUCAGUAUAAUUGGGAUCAUACAAAGAUUAGCACAACAGAAUUAAAAAACCCAGGACCAUUACUAUGCCUCCAAAUGUCAAUAUAAAUUAUCAAAAUAUGAGCUAUAAACUGUAAUCUCAUGUUAAAUACUAUUAUCAGGGCCAAGGUCAUUGCUCCAUAGGUGAACGUAUCAAACCAAGCUAUGGACAGCCUGGAGAGGUUAACCUUCCCACUGGCCAAAGUACCAAACUCAUCCAGUUAAUUUAGAUAGCCUCUAAAGGCUCAGCUUUCAUUUAUUUAAUGUAUUGCUUCAGUAUAUUUUAGUUCAGUUUUUCUUUUCUGCUGUAUACCUCACACCCUCUUGAAAUGGGAUUUUGACCAAACAAAAUUAUCACAAAGACUUUAGUGGCACUGCUUUCUGGGGGGGGAAACAAAACAACAACAACAAAAAACAAAACAAAACAAACAGACAAAAAAACCCAAAAAAGUCACAAAAGCACAGGGACAGAAAGAAAUGUGUUUAUUUGUAUUUGUGCCAUGUAUGAAAUUCUGUAUGCAACCCUGUGAGAAACAGCCUCUGGGGAGUCAUGAACUGUUUCUCCUAGAGAGUGAAAAGGGGCUGCGGUAGCAAACAUCCAGAGAAGCCAGGUUGCACGCCAGUGGCAAGUGCUGGUGGCUGCCUGCGAUUUCCAAAAGCUCUUGUGUUACAUCAAGUGUUCAGGAAAGACCUUUCCCUGGGGCUAUGUGUGAGCUAGGAAGGUGGCAAGAAGGAUUUUGUGUGAGCGGGGCCAUCACCACAUGUCCCAAAGUGGGAAGCAGUGCAGGGAGGGCAGUGUGCUUGCUUCUGUUGAGCAGGCUUGCCCUCCUGGUGGCAUCGUGACCUGCAUUUGAACUUCUCAGAAACAGCAGCAUUUGUCUUCCUCUAAAACCUCUCAGAGAUGAAACACAAGAAACAUUUCACUUGUCAAGACUGUUUACUACCUGUUGAAGUAAAUGUAAAUUUGAUGUUUCUCUAAGAAGGAGCUGAUGGCUUUACUCUGUGCUAACGUAUCCGUAGAUGUCUUGGCAUUUGAUUUUGCUAUUUUGAUACUAGAAGCAAUUUUCCUAUGAUUUAGUGUCAAAGCUAUAAGGUCAUCUUGACCUGUUUAGAACAUUUCUAAAUAGACUUAAAAAUAAGAGGCAAUGGCAUGAAAAGAAACUGAACUUUUCGGAGGUAUCUCACCACAGGUACCUGUAAAUACUUCUCUGUACCUACAGUGUUUCCAAAUAAUUUUAUUAUUAUUAUUUCAGCAGAGGCUGUCCCUAAUGAAUGUAUAGUUUCAACAAGUAAAACUGAAGCACAUAUGAUGUAAAAGAGAGAAACUGAAUGGCAGUUACCGAUCCUGCUUUGAGCAGUUCUUGCAAUGUUUUCAUUUCAAUGAAGCAAUUCCCUCUUUUCUCCCUGCUAUUCCUUGAGAGCUUGCCCUUCUGACUUUGCCAAGUCAAAAUGAGAAGUUACCAGCUGAGCAGAAAAGACCUGAAGGCUUCCACGGUACAAAGAGACAGGAGAAGGACUGUACUAGUCACCCUGAGCAAGAGUCUGCAUCUGCUGAUUGAAUGGUGAAUUCUAUUUAAUAACUCUGCUUGCUUUUUUGAGUGACAGUGAACUGAUUCCAUUUAAUUACAUGGCCAGUUAGCUAUUAAUGUUUUAAUUAUAAUAGCAUUAUGUUUGUCAUUAAGAAGUUAUGCCCCUAUGAAAACAAUUAUACUUUAAGAAGUAUUUUACCAUUUUACCAUCACAUUUGCUGAGGAAAGAAAGAAUAAAACAAAAUAUGUAAUGGAGUAUGUAUUGCUUACAAGAAAAAAAGAUAGCAUAAGAUCAGGGCUUUGGUUUCUGAUUCUGCUACAUUCUCACAUCAUUAAGCCCUCCCAAGCUUAAGGCUGUGUAGGGCACUUUGAGCCUCCAGCAGAACCAAGAGAAACUUCAGAGCAGUUCUAAUUUGUAUUUGGCUGCAGAAAGGUUUCUUGCAGUCCAUCUGCAGUGCUUAAGUCAAUAUAUGUCAAAGUUGUGGGACUGCUGCUGAAAGCACAAAACUUGUCAUAGAUGUUCAUGUCCUGAUUGAUUUGAGAUAUGGAGCUAUUCUGAAAUGAUUCAGUGUCAUUAGGGCAUCAGUCUGGGAGCUUCUUUGUUGCUGAGAGUUUAUUUCAUUUUAUUCUUAAUGGACUCUCUGCAGUAUCUAUCUCAUUUACAUCUGGUUUCACUCAAAUGGCUGUCACAUUAAAUGGAAAAGCAAAGUACAAAAUCAAUAAUUGCUGCAAGUCUUUAUCACUACUACAAACUUUUAAUGUUUACUCUCAAAACUUUCUUUCUGUGUGCUGUUUUAUCCAUCAGUUGAUAUGGAUUUUAUUUUAAAUCUUGUAAUGUAAAUCACAAGGUCUUUAGCUGAAGUGCACAUUCCAGGAAUAAAUACAGCUUACAAAUGAAUUUUAUGAUAUCAAGAUGUGUCAUUCCCUUAUUUAGGAGUGUGUAUAUGUCUUUUACAUCCUUUGCAGCUGAUGUUUAGUCUUUACAUUCAUCAGCUACGCAGUUUACCUCUACAGUGCUUCAUUUCUGUCACCUUCAGCUUCUCUUUUUCUGCAUGCAAGUUGAUUAGUGCUUCAACUGCCUGCACAUCUGUGUGCACCUUUCUCCAUUCACACUGCUCCACUCACAAUGAGGACUGGGGGUUUAUAACAAACAGCUUCUAUUGGCUACUACAGCUGUCUGGUAAAUAUGUUGCAUUCACAUGAGAAGGGAACACCUUCCACGUGCUCUACACGGCUGGCAUGAACAGUAGCAGGACUUUGCUGGUGUAGUCAGAGAAACAUGUAGAGUACAGCUCUGCAAGUACGUAUUUCAGAUAAUAUCAUAAGUUAUACUUUGUGUGUUUGCCUCCAUUAUUCUCUCCCACAUAAAAUAAAUCCCCUUCAGUAGUGUUUGGAAAUUAAGGGCCAUGUGAGCAUGUUGUGUAUGUUCAGCAAUAUAACAAGUGACGUAUUUGCGAAACGAAGUCAAAACCAGUAUGUUUUCUGAGCUAGUGGAAGCUGUAAAGACCCCAAGUCGUUGCAGAAAUAUCCAAAGUAUCACUGAUGCUGUUGUUUUGAUCUGUUUGAAAGAGUCCUUGUCCUUUCUUCCCGGUCACUCUUGCAAAGUGUUUUCACUAAUUGUUAGAUGAUUGAUUGCUUCUGGUAAUUAAGAGUUCUCAGAAAGAAAAUACAGUACAUAAAGAAAGAGCUUGCUACAUUUUGAAUAUCCAUCAUAUUCCUUCGAGAUCUCUGCCCUGCCUCUGAUGUGCUCUGGAAGUGUCUCUGAACAAAUCUGCCAUAUGAAUAACAGAUGCAAUAUCGAGCCUUAACACAUUUUUAACUUUUCACUGAUGUGAUAGAGAAUAAUCUUGUUUGAUGAAUAAUCUCUGAAAGUCAUAUUGAUGUCUGAGUGUAAACUGUUGAUAUUCAUCAAGAACUCCAAUAGGAACAUUGGGAAGAUCACAGUAUGAUGCAAAGUUCACUUUAUUUCCAAGGUAUUUUAUCAGAGCAGUUAUCUUGCCUGAUGAUAGCUUGUUAUUUUUAGAGAGCGAUGGAGGAUAACAUUGGUUUUCAUGACGAAGGAAUGCUUGUAAGUCACCUUUCUUCCAACAGGGAAUGAAUAAUUAUGAGAAUAAAAGAAAAAACAUUUUUAGAAGGAAAUUUUUUUGCUGGAUCUUUCAUGACACAUCCCUGAAGGUAUCAUGUAUGAAAAAUAUGUUUCUGAAUAUGAGCUCAGAUCAAGUUUAUCUACAAUUCAUGUUUCUUUUUCUCACAAACUCAUAGUGCAAGGCCAACAUAUGUGAUGACACAGGUUUUCUGCAGACUUGUAAGGAUCACUUGGUGUGAACUCCCAAAUAACCCACUGCAUGAUUUUUAACACAGUCCCAUGUUUUCCCACCAGUUAAUUAGCACACAAAUAUGUCCACAAAAUGACUCCCAGAACAUAGCAUUGUGUGGUUCAAAGCAGGUGCUAGCCAGAUAUGGUUCUCUCAUUCCUGCCACAUCAGUCUGAGUCCCAAAACUGUCUCUGCUUUGGCAGAGCCACAGUAGUGAAAAGAAAAAAGACCUAGAUCUAUUUUAAUUAUCCAAAGCAUUAACGGUGAAGGUUUGUUAGCCACACUUGAUAUCAACAUUCUUUCUACUUUAUCUGCACACUUCUUUGCCUUCCCCCUCCUGCUGUCUGAUUAUCCUUUGCUCCUCAAGCAUCAUCAUAAUCCUGUGAUCAAGCAGCUGAGGGCUGUGUGUGCAGUGCUAUAAGUUAUUGUAAAUACAUUGAUAGAACCUAUUAUGUGCUUAUUAUUUUGUCAUAGGUUUCAUGGGGACAACAUGUCUUACAACAAAAAAUUACAGCAUAAUUAAGAAACUCCAUAUUUUCUCUAUAUUUUUCUUCAGUUUUUCACUGAUUCUAAUUCAUCUUAAUGUUAUAGACACAAAAUAUACAGUAUACAGUAAAGAAUACAGAAAAGAUAGAGGACAUUUUUUAUACAGUAUAAGUUUUUUCCUGUACAAGUUUUCUCAAAUUGAUUCACUUCUACUGAUGACAGGCAGUGUUACCCAUGUCAAAACUUGUUCUACUUCGAAAUUCAGCUCCCUUUUGUUAUUGGAUAGUGGUAAUUUUUACUAAGCUUGUCUCUUUCUCAUGGUGACAUUUUGUUUAAAUAAGAAAAUCUGUGUAAAGUGGCUUUGUGCCUAUGGGUGAAUUUAUUUGAAGUGUAAAAUGUCAAACUGGCAACAGUAAUAAUCCUGUAAAUUAGGUAUGUCAAAUAAUGUACAUGUAGACAUUUGAUUCAUCUAAGAGUGGAAGGAUUUCUCUAACUCUAUUUUGAGAAACCUGAGUCAUGAGCUCCCAUUUCUUAAUUGGUACUUUUGACAAAAGUGAGGAAUAUGCCAACAUAAAAAAUUUAUAUCAGAAUGUAGUGAGCCUAGAGUAAAAUUAACUCCUUUUCCAAGUUCAGCAACUCACAGAAAGAUAAAAGAAAGUAAAGUAGAUUUCUCCAAUGCACAUAAACCAGUAUACGUAAUUUCACUACACACUGAAUACAGGAGUAGUUGGGAAGCUUUUGAAGUAAAAAAGAAAGCUGAAGGCUUUGUUAUACUGAUUAAUAAAAAUGCCACAGUAAGCCCUCUUCCUGUGGUCUUCAGUGGUCUUUGGAAUAUGUCAACCCAUCAAAGAUCUGAAAUGUUUCAAUUUGAAGAGUCAGAUUUUGCUUUUGGUUUGCUUGUUCUCCUUUAUCCAUCCUCUUGCUUAAAUUAAACUUCUCAAUGGAAUUUUAUAGUGUCAAUAUGUGAAACAGAAGUCAUCACCAGAAGAUUAUUUUCUAAUUGGCAGACUGGAUUCAUUGUGGACAUGCUAAGAAACUAUGUCCAGACAGUUGCAUGCAUACACAUAUACAUACAUACGUGUGCUUAUAUGCACAUACGUGUUGUUAUUUGGAUUGCAUAGUAUGAGACAAUGUAGAAAGGCCACGUUCUCUGGAGGUGACCUCAUAAUUCACCCUCACCUUGGUGGCCAUGUUCUCCAAGUACAUGACCUCAUUAGUACAACCAAAAAAGCAUGGGGAGUCCCUAGAUCCAGAGGAAAAUCAUAUGGAAUGCUAUGGAGGAAAGACAUCACCAUUUUGCAGUAGCUGAAGAACCAGCAGCUCACAGCCUGAUAUCCUCUCCUGCUCCCUUGUCUGUAGAGUGCUGCCCCUCCAUUCCCUGAGUUCAUUGCUUGGGUGAACACUUUCAGAUCCCUUUUGGUGAAAAUGAGCCAAGAAGCCAAAUACCUAUUAUUCAAGCUAUUCGAGUUCUGUUUGAAAGAGCUGAGUUACAAACCACUUACUCGAGUAGUUUCCCAGCAAGUCUGAAGGGCAGUAGGGAGUAAUAGCAAGCACUAGGGAGUAUGCACUUUUCCAACUUUAUAACUUCAGCUAGAACUUUCUAGGAUUAGACAUUUUCUCUGUGAAAGGAGAAGUAAUUUUAUCUACGUAAUGAGCUUAAUUGCAGCUAUUUGCUUUAAGUACAGUGCCAAUCGUUUUCCUUCUUCAGAGACCUACAAUGCUAAAACAGACUGGGGCACAUUUCCUACUGAAGCUUUGCCACUUCCUCUUUAGUCAGUAGGGUUUUCUCCCUGUUGUAACAAUAUCAAUAUGCAUUCAGACAUCUUCUAUAUACCAUAUUAUUUGCAUAACUAGUAUGCACAAUACCACUGUAUCGUGUGAUUCUAUUAUUUUAUUGUGUGUAUACUAUUCUAUUGUACUAUGCAGCAUUUUUUUUCCCGUGCUUUACCUGCUAUUCUUACUGCACUGACAAGAGAUAAUCAGCAGCAAUUAUUCUCUCUUUCAGAGAAAGCGAUAGCUUUGUUGGAUUUGUAGGGCACAAUGUGGAUUAAAAAUGCUACCAUCCAAAAAGAAAGAAAAACCAUUUCAAUUAUAAAUCAUUUAAAUUAUUAUUUAUCAUAUGCAUACCAGGUUAAUCCUAUGGUACAGACAGAAAAUGGGAAUUAUUUAGCCCUUCUUAUAUAGAGUUACAAAUCCAUGCGACUCCUUAGGGAUGGGACUACUCUCAGCCCCCACUGCACAGCUAUUGUGCAGUGAAUUCUUUCCAUUUCUUCUCUCUUUACUGCUUUCCUCACAGACCCAUAUCAUUGUUCUCAUUCUGUGCACUUGAGUCAGGGGACUAUUUUCUAUAUGAGUGUAGCUAAGAACUGCAGAGGAACAUUUUAUCCACAAUUACUCAGGAUUUUCUAAACAAUAGAUCUCCCAUCUCAAAAUAGAUCAAUGACCCAUAAAAGGUGGGGUGGGUAAGAUGGAGAAUCAGACCUGAAAAUACUAGAAAUCCAUAACUGAACCUUUGCAAACAGUAUUCUCUAUCAGUGGCAGAGACAGAACCGAUCUGCAGUUAGUAUACACUAUAAUAUUUCUAGAAAGUAGAACUGAAAUGAUUUUCUGGCACAUCCAAGUACCAGUACCUACACAGGGACCUGCAGGUACAAACAAGAUCAGUCAAGGGGAUCAGUGCACACGCACCACACCUUGCUGUUUGUUGAGCACAAUGCAAAGACUACUGCAAGCAUUUUAUUAUUAAAUUUUUCAUCUAAUCUUUUUAAUAAACCUUAUGAUAUAUCUCCAAAAUAAGUUAAAAGGAAAAAAAAAAAAAAAAGUCUUUACGCCUGUAAAGCCUGUCUAGUAAAUUUUGCUGGUUAAGGAAGCUGUCUAAAUAUGCUUUGUCCUCCUACCUUAUAAUUAAUUAAUUGCUUUGCAUGGGCUUGUUUCUCUUUAUAUUUUCAGUCUCUGUGUACAUUUCCAAGCUCCUUUAAAAAUAAAAUAUUGUCAACAGCAGAGCUACAGACUAAGUAUAUCUUUAAGUGACCCUGGCUGCCUACCGUCUUUCUCAUGUGUUAAGCUGAAACAUUACUCAGAGCUGGCUAUUAACCACACUGCCUUCACAAACCACUCAGAAUUUGUCAGAUAUUCCUCAGUGUUAAAUGCUAUAAAGUACAUCACAUUGUUUGCGAAAAAAAUCUCACCUUUAUGAUCCUUUUCAUUUCUGCCUAAUUGUCUAAGAUAAGAAUAGCUUGCUGUGCCUUGAGGGGGAAAUUUUCCAUUACUGCUGAAAAGAUAAAUGGUAGAAAGCAAAAUGAACCUGGCUCAUUACAACCUUCUGAAAAAAAAAAAAAAAAAGAAAAAAAAAGGCAAAUUGGUCUUCAGAAAUGAUAUAAUAGAGCUGACACUUUUAAUAGUCUAGAGUUCAAAUGUGGCAUUUCAUAUAAAGUUUUUUCAUAAAGUAUAAUACAAACAAUUACAGAUGCUGGCAGUAAUGAAUGGUACUUAGUUUCUUUUACUAGCUUUACUCUGAAAGUUGCAGGGGGAGGAAAAUGCUUUUACUGAUACCUACUUAAAUGAGAGAAAGGUUACUUUUAAAGAAACAUAACAUUCAUUUCAGUGUGUUUCUAGUCUUAAUCUCUAUAAUAAAUGUACUAAUGUCUUUUGAUCUACUGUGAAAGUGCACAAAUUGCUUAGAAAGCCAGACAGCUCAUUUGAUGCUUUAAAUAUCUGGCGAGCUUUGAAGGACAAGGCUGAAAAACAACUGAUUUCUCAGUAAAAAACAUGAUUCAUAAUAAUGGCAAAA